GUCCCUAACUGUAUGGACCCCUUUGUUAUAUUGUGGCAGAGGUUGGGCCUAUCAGAGAAAUGAAAAGUGCCCAACCUCUCAUUUUUAUCGCUAGUUUCAAUAACACCAUGACAGCCUCAUUUGCCAAAUCCAUUCUCUCCUCCUCUCCGUCUCUCGCUCGCUGACUGAGAGUUUUAGGAGUGAGCGAGCAAUGGAGAUGGCAAUUAGCUUCAACAGUUCUUCCUUCUAUUUGAUAAACCCUAACCAUGUUCCUAAAAGGACUGCUUCUACUCUUCUUACUAAGCGACUGUUUGGUCUCAGUUUAUCUUCUUACCCAAAAGCUAGAACAUCACUCAGGUGUCGUUCAUGGAGUCCUUUUCACCGUCCAAUCAAAUGCUCUGCUUCUCAAGCUACUGAAACAGCCACUGCCUCUGAGAAGAAGACCCAAUUGAAGAGGAGGGGAGAUAUAAGGAAUAUAGCAAUAGUUGCUCAUGUUGAUCAUGGAAAGACAACUUUGGUUGAUGCCAUGUUGAAGCAAUCCAAGGUAUUUCGUGAUAACCAAUUUGUACGGGAGAGGAUAAUGGACUCAAAUGAUCUAGAGCGUGAAAGAGGGAUUACAAUACUCAGCAAAAAUACAUCAAUCACUUAUAAGGAUACAAAAAUUAAUAUAAUAGAUACCCCAGGACACUCUGACUUUGGAGGUGAAGUGGAACGCAUCCUCAAUAUGGUGGAAGGGGUUCUUCUAGUGGUAGAUUCUGUUGAGGGACCAAUGCCUCAGACAAGGUUUGUUUUGAAGAAGGCUUUGGAGUUUGGUCAUGCUGUUGUUGUUGUUGUCAAUAAGAUUGAUAGACCUUCUGCACGUCCAGAUUAUGUCAUCAAUUCCACCUUUGAACUAUUUAUUGAGCUAAAUGCUACAGAUGAACAGUGUGAUUUCCAAGCAAUAUAUGCAAGUGGUAUAAAAGGAAAGGCAGGGUUAUCUCCUGAUGAUUUAGCUGAAGAUCUUGGGCCACUUUUUGAAUCUAUGAUCAGAUGCAUACCUGGACCACACAUUGACAAAGAUGGCGCACUGCAAAUGCUUGCAACAAAUAUUGAGUAUGAUGAACACAAAGGACGAAUUGCUAUUGGACGUUUGCAUGCUGGAGUUCUGCGGAAAGGAAUGGAUGUGAGGGUAUGCACAUCAGAAGAUUCAUGUAGAUACGCAAGAAUUAGUGAGCUUUUUGUGUAUGAGAAGUUCAGUAGGGUUCCAGCAGAUACUGUGGAAGCUGGUGACAUUUGUGCUGUCUGUGGAAUUGAUGAUAUUCAAAUUGGGGAGACAAUUGCAGAUAAAGUAUCUGGGAAGCCAUUACCUUCUAUCAAAGUGGAAGAACCCACAGUGAAAAUGGCUUUCUCCAUAAACACUUCACCAUUUGUUGGCCGUGAGGGGAAAUAUGUUACUAGCAGGAAUUUACGAGAUCGACUCUAUCGUGAGCUUGAGCGAAAUUUAGCUAUGAAGGUUGAAGAUGGUGAAACUGCAGAUACAUUUGUUGUUAGUGGGCGUGGUACUCUACAUAUCACCAUAUUGAUAGAGAACAUGCGAAGACAAGGAUAUGAAUUCAUGGUGGGACCUCCUAAGGUCAUUAACAAGAAAGUGGAUGAAAAAGUGCUAGAACCGUAUGAGAUUGCCACUGUGGAGAUACCGGAAGAACACAUGGGGUCUGUGGUUGAGCUUCUUGGUAAAAGGCGUGGGCAGAUGUUUGAUAUGGAAGGUGUUGGGUCGGAGGGAACAACACUACUAAAAUAUAAGAUUCCUACACGUGGCCUUCUUGGAUUGCGGAAUGCAAUUUUAACAGCUUCUCGUGGCACAGCUAUUCUUAACACAAUAUUUGAUGGCUAUGGACCCUGGGCUGGAGAUAUAUCUACACGAGAUCAGGGUUCAUUGGUUGCCUUUGAGGAUGGAACAUCUACUUCUUAUGCCCUUUCUAGUUCACAGGAGAGGGGGCAGAUGUUCAUUGGUCCUGGAGUGGAAGUUUAUAAAGGUCAAAUAGUUGGAAUCCAUCAGCGACCAGGGGACCUUUCACUUAAUGUGUGUAAGAAAAAGGCUGCGACAAAUAUACGUUCAAAUAAAGAGCAAACAGGUGGAAAGCUACUCCUCAUUGCCUUAAUUUAGUUUCUCCACCAAAAAAAAAGGGAAGAGAAUUUGAUUUCCUAUGUAAUUUGCUAGAAACUGCUAAGCUUGACCAAAUGAUUGUCAUUAGAUUGGGGGUUCUGGCUCUGUCUUUCUUUUUCCCUAUUGCCUUGCAAAUCCUCUAUUGUUUGAUUUUAUUAGAUUAAUAGCACCUUAAAAUACAUUUCUCCAUAAAUUGGAUUUUGUCUGUUUUGCUGACUAAGCAGUGCCCCAAUCAAUAGUGGGAACUCUUUUUUUUCCAACAUAGGUGUCUACUUUUGCUGUUAAUCACGUAUGGUUUGCUUGUAUUAUAUGUGUGUGUUUUAGGCAAUUGGAGCUAUUCUAAAGGAAGUUGUCUUUCCAAAACAAGUCACAGUUAAAUUGCCAAAUAAGAAGAAUGAUAGUAUGACACAGAGUGCUGAAUGCACUUAGUGAAGAAAAAGUUAAUGAUGAUGUCAUCUAUGGAAUUGCUUUGCCCCUUCUUAUUUACGAUAACAUUAGGAAAGCCUGCCCUUUAGUGAACAUAUCUCCAUUGAACAGCCCAAUUGAGGCUAUUACGCAAUUCCUGUCAUUUGUAUUCAUGAUUAUGCGUCUUCAUCCUUGCAAUCUGCCAUCAUUUACCUAAAGGAAAUUCAGAACCAUUGAACCUUUAAUUCAUUAUUAUGCUAAUGCUUGUUUGUGACAUUACUAUCCAUUUUGUCCUCUAUAUGCUUGCAUGUCUACAGUGGUGAGGUUUCAUUUCUUGCAUCUAACAGCCCAUAUUUUUUUUUCUCUAUGCAGUGGUUCUUGACACCCCCUUGGAUUAUAGUCUCGAUGACUGCAUUGAGUACAUUCAAGAAGAUGAGCUGGUGGAGGUCACUCCCUCAAGUAUCCGAAUGUGCAAAAAUCCAAAGCUUGCAAAAAAGACAAGAUAAGCAUUUCAUAGACUUGCAUCCAGUGAAUCUGCUAGCAAAACCAUCCUUGCUUGACUAAUCUCAAUGCAAUAGAAGCCUCAUACUUGUGCAUUUAAAUUCAUAUCAUUUGCCAUUCAUCCGACUUGAUAUAGAAUGAAUCAUUGUUUAGGAAUGCCAAGCAUUUUAAGUUUUGCUUCCUGAUACAAGUCUGUAUAUAACUAGUUAUAUGGCACAUUCAAUUGGUGAAUUGUAUUGCUAGGAAAUAAGCAAGUGAAGAUUCUCAAGUCCUGUAAUAUCAGAAUCAGGCACAGGCAGUCACUCUCUAAGAGGGGCUGAAAUAAUCUAUUUUUGCUGAAAAAUUCAGGAUGUUUUAAGCAGAAGGUAUCCAUACUUCUGGUUCUCUUCUGCGGUCUUGUCUGCAAUGGGUUGCAAUGAUCACAUUUCUUUUGUCCUGCUAGGCUAAUGAAGUAUUGGACAUGAAUUAGCUCACUAUGAAGCAUAAAGAUUGUGACAUAAACAAUAUUAUAUGCACUCGGGGACCUGGAUUUAGACCAAUGUUUUUGUUAAAACGAUUCAAUCUUCAACAGCCGAGUCAAUAAGGAAAAGAUUAGGGAUGGCUAUGAAGAAGCCGUCCUACAUCUACCAACUAUAUUUUAAAUUUUAAUGCAUGUAUCCAUGGGUGGUUAGAAAGUUCACGAGCUGGUUUUUGUUAUAAGAAAAAUUUUAGUUGUUUGUUAUUUUUUGGUUCUUUCGUCUGUGGAAAGGACUUUUGCAUCAUUGACUUCUAUAUAUAAGAAAAAAAUUUG
rnacentral:misc_RNA from 1 species